UACGGGGGGGGCAAGCGUUGUUCGGAAUUACUGGGCGUAAAGGGCUCGUAGGCGGCCAACUAAGUCAUACGUGAAAUCCCUCGGCUUAACCGGGGAACCGCGUCUGAUACUGGAUGGCUUGAGAUUGGGAGAGGGAUGCGGAAUUCCAGGUGUAGCGGUGAAAUGCGUAGAUAUCUGGAGGAACACCGGUGGCGAAGGCGGCAUCCUGGACCAACACUGACGCUGAGGAGCGAAAGCCAGGGGAGCAAACGGG
rnacentral:rRNA from 1 species